rnacentral:tRNA from 1 species
UCCCUGGAGGACUAGUGGUUAGGCCUUGGCGCUCUCAUCGCCGUGGCCCGGAUUCGAUUCCCGGCCAGGGAA